CGUGAGAUGUUGGGUUAAGUCCCGCAACGAGCGCAACCCCUAUUGUUAGUUGCUACGCAAGAGCACUCUAGCGAGACUGCGUUGACAAAACGGAGGAAGGUGGGGACGACGUCAAAUCAUCAUGCCCCUUAUGUCCUGGGCUACACACGUAAUACAAUGGCGGUCAACAGAGGGAUGCAAAGCCGUAAGGUGGAGCGAACCCCUAAAAGCCGUCCCAGUUCAGAUUGUGGGCUGCAACCCGCCCACA
rnacentral:rRNA from 1 species